ensembl:snoRNA small nucleolar RNA SNORA21
ACCCUUCCAAAAAGCACUUGUUGAGUCUGUGUGCAGUGACUCGGUGAGUUGUCGUGGAAGGGCAGAGCAAAGGCAUCGCUUUUGGGUGAAGUGGCAGCUCGUGCUGUUCAUUUCAAUCAGGGGUGUGACACUG